CAAAGGAAAGGUAAGGGAACCAAUUAGAAGGUGAGUUAAUGACUAAUCAAAUUAAAAGGUUAAGGGACUAAUUAGAAGAGGAGAGUGAAAUCUCCCCUUCAACUCGUGCAUACCAUGAACCCAGUUUCAAUCCGGCCAAUCUCCACCAUUUUUUAGUUGAAAUUCACACAUCCAUCACUUGCAACCUACUCCACCACCCCCCCUCUACCAUCUCCUCCCAAUUUGAGGUUUUACUCUACCGGAGCAUCGGAGGUGCUCAACGACAAUUCCUCCAUUCCGACGAGUUCCACCACUCUUAAUCAACUCCCCUUAGACCUAGAAACUAAACCCAACCAGGGUUAAAGGAGUUGGAACAUCGGAUAAGUCGAAUCAAUGAACACCCAUUAUAGCGUUUCCAGCGGGUUCGUGGCGAUUUAAGGCUUUUCCCAGUGAAAUUGGGUUUGGCCACAGGUAUAGUACUUGCUCUACUCACUGAGAUCUUCAUUUCUGUGAAGUUGGAGAAUUUUUAAAAAUGGUUGGUUUUUCCAGCAAGUUGGGGUGGCUGACCGCCGUGUACGGCGGCGCGUGGGCCGAGGCAUCACUUGAUCUCCCUAGGCUAAAUUUUAUUCUCCAAUUCAGUAUGUGAAGUCUGAUUGAUGAAUUUCCGUCGUUUGAACCUAGUUCCAUUAAGGUCUACCACUUGAUUAUUAUAGCAAUUGACAAUCCGAUCGUUGGAUCGUCACCAAACUUUAAUAUUUUAUAGUACGUAAUAUAUGAGGAUCAUAGGAACUUACGGAUCGGAAAUCCGAAGUACAUAUCUUCCUGAAUUGGAUUUGUUAGUGCAUAAAAUAAAAUGUUAAUUGCCACUUGAAUUUGUAAUUGGCGGAGAUCCAACCGUUGAAUCGUAAUUAAACUUUAAUAUGAUGUUUUAGAAACAUAUUGUGGAUCUUUGGAAGUUACAGAUUGGAAAUAUGUUAUGCAGAUCUUCCGGAUUGAGUUACAUAGGGUUGUAGACCAUACCGUCGAUAUUUGACCGAUGGUUGACUUUUGGUCAAUGGGUCUCAAAUCACUCUAGAACGUCCUUGGAGAUGUGUUUUAUGUUAUUUACGUGUUAUAUCGAUAAGAAUUCUAAGACGUGACUGAAUAUUUGUUUUAGGCGACGAUCGUUCGUGACACCUUGAUAUUCGUGCUAGGGAGUUGUAUCGUGGACCUCAGGUUCUAGUAACAGAGUUUUCGUACCAACUAGGAUUAUUGGCAAAUCUUGGUGUAGAUGAUUACUAUCGAUGGUAUAAUUCUCACCCUAUUUUACUGUACUGUACUUAUGCUCUGUCAUCACAUGUGAAUUGGGUUCAUUCUCGCUCACAACACACUUUUAGGCACUUUUAGGAUUAAAUUUAGGGAACUUUAACGAAAAACCAUAUUUUUACACUAAAAAGUAAAUCCUGGUUCUAUUCACUUUACCCUUUAUUUUGUCCUUAUCAUUAAAACUCAAAAUUUUCAAGCCUUUUUCAUUAGUUUUCCUUUAAAUUUAUUCACAUUUUCCACAUCACUACACUUUAUAGUUUCGUUACCUUCCAGGUGUCGGCCAGCAGAGCUCGAUUCAGAGUCUUAAUGGACAUACCAGGUCGGGGUGUGUCAAUUUGGUAUCAGAGUAUAAGUUGGGCAGUAUUGCGUUCAUCACACACGUGAUGUAAGCAUUCUCGGUUCUUGAACCUAAUGUUCGAAUCUUGCCACCUCGUUGAAUACGAAAAAUGUGUUAGCUUUUCCUAAGUUUUAGGCAGUUUUGUUGACUUGUCUACAUUUUAGAAGAUCACUUUGGCGAACGCUUUUAGACGUAGAGUGAAGAACUUCCCAGCUAAGGAAAUGUGUAGAUUUGAGACAAGUUGAUGGCCCUAAAGCAGGGCUAAUGUAUCAAUAAUGGUGUAUCACCAGGGAUCUAUAAAUCAAUCCCAUCAUUAUUUCAUGCCAUCUUUAUCAACAUUUUCGAGAUAGGAAACCAGAACUGAUUUUGAUUCCUUGGUAGUAACCGUUAGCAUACCAUUUAUUAGGAUUCCUACGAAGUUUACUUCUUCAGGAUUCUAAAAUUGUCUUGAGCGACAACCUGGUGCUAAAGUGGUAGCACUCAAUGAAAGACACAUCUGGGGGACAGUUACUUUUGGUCCUCGAUAACACUAAUCUUCUUAAAUGCACUAGUUAUCAUCUCGGAUCUUCAGGGAAAAGAUCGACUUCAGUUUAAGCCUUUCUAAAGUAGAUUAUUAGAAAAUUUCUGUUUCCGACUUUGGGACAUUCUAACCAAUACUAGUUUCGGAAUUUCUUUUGGUGAUGUAAUCGUCAUUUCGAUGGGUAUAGGCAUCGAAAUACGAGUUGUUAUACCUAUGAUUAGUAUAAAAUCUCUGAAGUAGUGAGUAUUUCCCCUAGAAUUAUGGAACCACCUCUCAGGACCAGAUCCUUAUUAGUCGUCCAAAACCACUUACCUGAGCGGGCUCUAGUAUGUAAUCAGCUAUGGUGGCGCUACUAAUUGACCAUAUUGUCCAAUAUUCAGGAACUGUCAACCAGUAUUCAAACGGUAUGAUUUCUCAUACCGGACAGAGGUGCUAGUAUCUGGGAAUGAUACCUUUAUACCAGAAUGUCGGUUCACAAUUUCAAAGUAACGAACAGUAUUAAAAUAUCAUAAAUUUGUUAAUUAGCGCACGACUAAUAGACUGAUUAACAGUGACUGCUGGUGCCGAAAAAACUAAAUCUCGAAAAGUUAGGAGCAAGCUUUGUAUUAGGAAAGUAAACUCAUAGUUGUUUUCACCUUAUCACCUAUCUAGGUAAACAUAACCUCUCCGACUGGCCACCUUUUCGGUCACUUUCACAGGUAGAUAGUAGAAUCAAAGUACGGGUUAAUUUCUCACUGUUAGCAUGAAUGGAGUAUCGAGGAAGCUAUGAAGAUCUAUUAGCACGUGGCAAAGUGAAAGGAAAAGUGAAAGGAAGUAGUAUGGUACGUUUCGAGGACGUACAUUUAGGCGUCAUAUUCCAAAAUCUCACCAGGGAUACCAUCAAAUGGUGAAAAAGUACACCAUUAAUCCACUUUCUCGUAGUAUAUCAAUUUUCCUUUUGACUUUUCGAACAAGUCAUACUUCAUUGAGAUAACUUAGUUACGAAAACUUACCAAUUAGGAAUUUAUCCAAUCAACCCCUUAUCUAGGAAUCCUCAAACCUAUCUACGAAGGCGAAAGACCGAAUUGAUGGUCUCUUUGACCAACUUCUUGAGCCUGAGUUUUCUUUCGUAACAUGUUGAAUUCAUAGUAGUCUUACCGAUGACUUUCUCAUCCACUUCAGUAAUGAGACCAAAUUCUCUAAAUAGCGACAGUCAGCUUUAUACAAAAUUUCUCAAACGUUAGUUUUGUUUAGAUUUUCACUUUUCUUGGGAGACGUGAUUUCCGCAGACGAUAUUCUUUUCUUUUUCCAAAAAGGUUGUAGCGGAAGAAAGUUGACAUUCUCACGAAGUGUUGUGAAGUUCGAGAUAUCUUUGAUCUUGUUGAUUUAUUGACAAUUUGUUAACGAUUUUUUCGGCUAUAGUGUUCUUCCUCACUUUUUGACAGAGGAAAGUUGGUUUAGUUUAGGAUGUGGGAUAUGAAUAAAAUUUCUGACAACAAAAGUGUUGUCUCACCUUACCUUUGCUUUACACUUUUCGAUGAUGUUUUCUUCGGAUAUUUUGGCUGUGUAGAUGCAGCAUGACGGGGUAACACUUAUGUUUCCCAACGGUUGGAACCGUAUGAAGUGAACCUCCUUAUUCAUGACCUAGAGUCAAUUGUCAUCAUCUUCAUUUGGAAAAUCGGAUGACAUUUCUCUAAGGAGAAGCGUGUCAAAAAUCUUUACUAACCUCAGACUUCUCAAUUACAUCCUCAUAUGUGAUGAACUAAAUUUCUGACAGCAGCGAUGGAAGAACCAAAUCAACGCCUACGAUUGCACUAUCGUGUAUUACCCCGGUGGUGCAAACGUAGUUACUGAGCACCUUUAGCUUGUCAUAUCCCACCUUAAUUGGAAUUCACAAGUAUUGUUUUGACGUUACUCAUGAGAUAUCAAUAAAUUGUUUAGAUGGUUAUCACAAGUAUUGUUUUAACGUUACUCAUGAGAUAUUAAUAAAUUGUUUGGAUGGUUAAAACCACUUCCUAUAUCUGUAUAAGGAUGGGAAAUAUCACCAUAAGAUUCCAAUACGAGGUAUCUUGUACAUGUGGAGUUAUGAUGAUGUUUCAGUGACCAUUGACCGACGUGACAAGUUAGCUCAUUUUCCUUUGGUCCAGAUGGACUAUGUUUAGACCACUUGGUAAAAUUCCUCAUUCUUGAAAUUAUCAUAUUUUUCUGGCAUUUAGACCAGCACCUAUUCUAACUGUAAUUCCAUAUUUACCCCUCUGUGCUGGAAGACAUUCCAGUCAACCUUGGGUAUGUGUCUAUCCUACUACACUUCAUAUUAUUCUUGAAACAGAGAAACCAUUUAAAGGAAUUGCUCGGAUAUUGAAAUGUAGUUGUGAUCAAUAAUUCUUCAAUCACCUAACAAAUACUCUAUUAAACGAAUUUUUACCGUUGGUGAUUGAAUAUUUCUGAAGCUACCGUUGUAGCGAGAUGUCAUACAUUAAUUUCAAUUACCUUGUAUUUGAAAUGUGUUGGACUUAUUUAACUCUCAAACUAUAGACAUUAUUUUUCGCUAUAUUCAAGAGGAAAUUAAUAUGAAGCUGCUCGCUAAGGCGUUGUGGACUACAUUAUUCGACUACAUGGUAUGUUUGUCACUUUUGUAUCUCACAAUGCAUGUUUCACUUCUAAGCAUUGGGAAGUCUUCUUGAAUGCUAUGGGUACGGAGUUGUUACCUGGUACUACACAUACCUUAGUGUACUUGUUGCUUUGUAUGUUUUACAGUUUUAGUGAAUUAUGAUAGACACUUAGCUUUGUUAGAGUCGUGUGUAACUGCAGUUAGACUUUCAGUUUUGGGUAUGUCACCACUUGAGACGUGAUACAGAAAUUCUAUGCAUAAUACUUGAUUGAAAGAUGAAUAUUGCGAAUAGGUAUUUAAAUAAUUGAGAUUGCAAUUUAGGAAAAUUGUGUGCUAUUUACGUUGUGACCGAGAAGGUAGCUUGUGAGCGCAGUCGAGGUGCUAAUUAGACGAUGUAGGUGUAUUUCCCAAGGAGGGGCAAGUUGGUAAUAUUACAUCCUCAGGAAUUAUUUACUUGCUUAUCGUGGCAACGGUGAGUUAUUGAAAUUGCGGGCUACAGACUGUAAUGUUUAUAACUUAUUUGUUGGAUUCGUUAAGCAAGUGGAUAGAUAGGUCCGUUUACGUUAGUAUAAUUAUUUAUUUAUCUAUUUAUUGUUUGGGUUUGACCCAAAGAUAUUGUGUACAUACCUCCUAAGUAUGUGACGCUAUGAGUGCGUAGGUAAAAUUUCUCUAUGCUCAGUUUUGAUUUCAGUACAACUAUUUCUACGUUAUUACAUAUACGUAUUUGGACGUUAUGCUUUUAUAUGUCUAUUUUUUACCGAAUGUUUUUAUAAAAGUAUUAUAUUUUGGCAUUGUAAUGAAGGAGAAGGAAAGUUUGAGUUUAGAGGCAUGAAAGAGGAAUAACUGCACUCCCAUCGCGACGGAAUGACAUUCUCUUUUAUGCAACUGCUCUAACUUGAUAUCUUCUUUACAUAGCUGUUUUUCUACUGUCUUUUCACUAUUCUGGUAUAAUAAAUUAUUUCAAAUUUUGGGGACGAAAUUUUUUAAGGUGGGAAGAUUGUGACAAUCCAUCCCUAAAUAUACGUUUUUAUUUAUUUUAAUUGAGGGAAUUGACGAAAAUGUCCUAAAGGCAAGGACUUUGACUUCUGUUGACCAUCGUCUAGAGAAACGUAUGACUUAUUCUUUUAGCAUAUUUGAGUAGUACUCGUUGGUCCGAACGCAUAGGCGAAAGCCGUUUGCAAGUCUGGAUUAUAGCAGUAUAGUUAUGGACGUUCGAAGUUGGUUUUCCUUAUUUUUUUUUACCUUAACCCUUUAAUUAAAUGAAUUCCCACCAUGUGGGAAUUUGGCCCAAUCACAAAGGAAAGGUAGGGGAACCAAUUAGAAGGUGAGUUAGUGACCAAUCAAAUUAAAAGGUUAAGGGACCAAUUAGAAGAAGAGAGUGAAAUGGUUAUCUCUUUUUCAACCUGUGCAUACCAGGAACCCAAUUUCUAUAUGGCCAAAAUUCCAGCCAAUCUCCACCAUUUUUCAGUUGAAAUUCACACAUCCAUCACUUGAAACCUACUCCACCACCUCCCCUCUACCAUCUCCUCCCAAUUUGAGGGUUUUUAG
rnacentral:lncRNA from 1 species